GACGAACGCUGGCGGCGUGCUUAACACAUGCAAGUCGAACGGAAAGGCCCUGCUUUUGUGGGGUGCUCGAGUGGCGAACGGGUGAGUAACACGUGAGUAACCUGCCCCGGACUUUGGGAUAACUUCAGGAAACUGGGGCUAAUAACGGAUAGGAGCUCCUGCUGCAUGGUGGGGGUUGGAAAGUUUCGGCGGUUGGGGAUGGACUCGCGGCUUAUCAGCUUGUUGGUGGGGUAGUGGCUUACCAAGGCUUUGACGGGUAGCCGGCCUGAGAGGGUGACCGGCACCAUUGGGACUGAGAUACGGCCCAGACUCCUACGGGAGGCAGCAGUGGGGAAUAUUGCACAAUGGGCGGAAGCCUGAUGCAGCAACGCCGCGUGCGGGAUGACGGCCUUCGGGUUGUAAACCGCUUUCGCCUGUGACGAAGCGUGAGUGACGGUAAUGGGUAAAGAAGCACCGGCUAACUACGUG
rnacentral:rRNA from 1 species